GAAUCAACUAUUACAGCCUCCAGCACACCACUGGAAUGGACCAGAGAUGCCUCCAGAGUUAGGUCCUUUCGAGUCAUAAGCACAGCCAUUUAAAAAAAAAAAUUAAACCUGGCUUUUCAGGUAUUUUAAACGUCCAUGUACGAUCUUAGACCGAAAAAAGAAUAGAUCUGGAAAUGUAUACAGAAGAAAAGAAAAAUCCAUUCUGUUUGGUGGUUGGCAGGGAUAAAGCCUUGGGCACCCACUGCUUUUGCUGUAUGUAGUACACAAGCUGAGUGUCCUUGUGGUUUGAUUUCUGAAGUGAAGAGCACCUUGCAUUUUUCCAAGGUAAUUGGGGUUAGUCACAGGACUCUGCUCUUAGUAAAGGCCUGGCUUUCAGAGCUGGCGUUUUCGGGGCUAGAAAGCUUUCGGCUGGCCUGCCAGCCUGAAUCGCUACACGUCGUUAUUUGUCUUUUGGAUUUAAUAGUUGCCCUUCUAACUGAGACUCAUUUCUCCCCAGUUGAAAAUGAAAAAAGACUUUAAUGUCACUUCAAAGAAUUACAGAGUAAAAAUUGAAUGAAAUUAAAUUAAUUGGAAGUGUCAGACUAGAUACGUACAAGCAGAAGUACAUUUCUAGCCUUAGCACCGGGAACGCGACUUCUAAAACGUAAGGUGUUUCAUAAUCAAAACUGGAUGGUAUACUUCAAAGUUUUUAUUUCAGAAUUACCUUAAACUCCAUUCAAAGAAGUUGAAGUAACAAAUGAAAAUAAAUCCAAAAGGCAAAUACCAACCUGCACUAGAAUGUGGUAUUGGUGAAAAUAUGUACAACCCAGAAUGGCUGUAGACUCUUUAACACCUGGUUUUCCUUUGCUGUGUUCAUAAAUAAUAAAUAAGUGCCUUUGGUUCAUGUAACUGCAGAAAGCCCUCUCACCCUGUAGUCGAGCACAGCUAAAGCUCGUAACCGUCAGACUGUAUGUCUAUCUCGGUAAACGCAUCGCUUAGCCUGAUAGGUUGUUUGUCUAAAUUUUUCAUUGUUCUGCAUAAUUUGUACUUCAUAAGCAUACCGAGUUUUAUGUGCCAUGCAUAUUUCAUGGUAUCUGGAAAAAAAAACCUGCCAAAGCGUGUUGGUGUAUGCAUUUCACCAUGCAUACCGUCUGUAUGUGCAUCCGUACAUGUCUCACCCUGGCCUAACGUGUUGUUUCACAAGUGUUGUGGGUGGCGAGGUUAUCGAACGGUAAAGAGCAUCUCAAUUCGAACAGUGAACAGAAUCAAUUUUGGAUCAUUCGUGUUAAUGCAUUUAUUUACUCAUUGGCACUCAGUAAGAAUGAUUAUAUUUAAUAGCGCUUUACAGUCAGCUCUUGAUUAUCUGGGAAUAGAAACCUUGCUCCUGGGAUAACUUGGCUUUCAGGUUUGUGUGUGCGUGCGUGUGUGUGUGUGUGCGCGCUUUUGUCUUAACUUGGGUUCUCGAUUGCAGAAGUGGGCUCCUUCAGUGGAGGCCCAGGGAGAGGCGGCUGCUCAGGCCUGGGUCCUUCUCCCUUUGCCCUUUCUGUCCUGUCUGCAGAACAGAAGGACCCGCACUUGGAGUGAGUGGACUAGUGCAGGAGAGUUGUGGCCGUGGGACACUUUGCGUUUUGGUUCUUCGUGGUGGUUUUGUGUUGCUGUCCUAACUCCGGCUUGAAGCACAGCCAAGCUGCUAUAAACUCCUGGUUUCCUCUGUUACGGUUCUGCAGUUCUGCUUCUGCCGUGAGAGGAACCGGGUCACGCGUCACGUGGGGGUGAGUGGCACCUAUUCAGUGUUGCUGUCCUCCGCAGGUUGCCUUAAUCAGGGACAGAGGAAGCCCUGAGCAGGAGCUUGGGUGGUUUUCAGAAAACAAGACACUUUAUGUCGCAGCCAGCGGACACUUUCGGGACUGAGCGUGCCGGCUGCGUGUUGCGCUUCCCUCCCCGUCAGCUCUUCACGCGAUGACAAGUAAAGUGCUCUUACGUACAGGUGUCCGAAGCGGUCGAGGCCAGUGUGGAAGCGGCCUGUCUCCCUACUGUAAUGAGAAGGCUGUCUCAGAAGGAAACCCUUGAGUACUACUGCCUCACGGAGCGAGAGCCAAGAUUGGGAAGCAGCGGACACGGAGCCCUGAGCCGGGCUCUGUCACCUUCCGCAGCCUCGUCCGUAAGGAGCGGUCUCAGCAGCAGCCUGCCACCUCCAGCUGCGGCACAGACAUUUGCAGCCUGCUCUGUGGGACUGCGGAGGCCAGGGCAGGGUCUGAGUUGAAAACGCUUUCCCAGAACUCCUUGCAGACUUCGGCGACCUCCUGCUGCAAGCCCAUGACAUCAGGUUGGCCCUGUGGGACUUGCCCUCCCCAAAGAGACCACAGGCCUGGUGCAGGGCUGCCCUCGCCCGCCGAGGUAGGGCAGGGAACACGAGAGGAGGACGCGCUCUUGAGGAGGCCAGGGCUGCCUCCGACUCCAGAGAGAGGUAGCCGCAUGGGAAGGAGCCCCGCGCAGGGACGCAGGCGUUUCUCGGCUGCAGUGGAAGGGGCAGCGACA